rnacentral:rRNA from 1 species
UACGUAGGUGGCGAGCGUUAUCCGGAAUGAUUGGGCGUAAAGGGUGCGUAGGCGGCCUGCUAAGUCUGGAGUGAAAGGUACCGGCUCAACCGGUACAGGCUCUGGAAACUGGCGGGCUAGAGAGCAGGAGAGGGCGGUGGAACUCCAUGUGUAGCGGUAAAAUGCGUAGAUAUAUGGAGGAACACCGGUGGCGAAAGCGGCUCUCUGGCCUGUAACUGGCACUGAGGCUCGAAAGCGUGGGGAGCAAACAGG